rnacentral:rRNA from 1 species
GUCCACGCCGUAAACGAUGAGUGCUAGGUGCUGGGAUCAUUUCGAUUUCAGUGUCGUAGCUAACGCGUUAAGCACUCCGCCUGGGGACUACGGUCGCAAGACUAAAACUCAAAGGAAUUGACGGGGGCUCGCACAAGCGGUGGAGCAUGUGGUUUAAUUCGAUGAUAACCGACGAACCUUACCAGUUUUUGAAUGGCAGUAAUAAGUCGUACCAGAGAUGGGCGAUGUUGGGUAACCAAGACUGUCACAGGUGAUGCAUGGCCGUCGU